rnacentral:sRNA from 1 species
GCCAGGCGGGUGACAUACGCCUGUAAUCCUAGCUACUCAGAAGGCUGAGGCAGGAGGAUCACUUGAGCUCAGGAGUGCAAGACCAGCCUGGGCAACAUAGUCAGACCCUGACUCAA